rnacentral:rRNA from 1 species
AGCGAACGCUGGCGGCAGGCCUAACACAUGCAAGUCGAACGAACCUUUCGGGGUUAGUGGCGGACGGGUGAGUAACACGUGGGAACGUGCCUUUAGGUUCGGUAUACCUCAGGGAAACUUGUGCUAAUACCGCAUGUGCCCUUCGGGGGUAAGAUUACUCGCCUUUAGAGCGGCCCGCGUCUGUUUAGCUAGUUGGUUGAGGUAAUGGCUCACCAAGGCGACGAUCAGUAGCUGGGCUGAGAGGAUGAUCAGCCACAUUGGGACUGAGACACGGCCCAAACUCGGACGGGAGGCAGGAGUGGGGAAUCUUGCGCAAUGGGCGAAAGCCUGACGAAGCCAUGCCGCGUGAAUGAUGAAGGGCUUAGGAUUGUAAAAUUCUUUCACCGGGGACGAUAAUGACGGUACCCGGAGAAGAAGCCCCGGCUAACUUCGUG